CAUGCUAGCUUACCGGAGAAAACGCCUGCGUGUCGCACCUCUAUAUGAAAACUUCCCUUGAGCACACAGCGUUUCCGAUUCAUGACGUCACAUCCGCCAAUUCAAAUCUUCCUCGCCUGCUCGUCCAAUGGCGCUUCGCACACUCGCGUACCACGUGACAGGCCACCGCAUUAAGGAAAAAUCACGGAACUGAAAGUGAAGUGUCCAUGCCAGUGACAGAAGGGCAACCAACGCUCACCUCAAGACUGAAAACUGCCUUCAAAAACAGAGGUAGGAGGCGGGCAGUGGCACAGGGUUUUUUCAGUCUUGAGGUGCGUGUUGGUUGCUCUUUUGUCACUGACAUCGUUACGACACUUUGGUCGAGUGGUUAAUGUCAUUGCCUCUGACACGAUGGAGCUAGUGUUCGAGACCUGGCCGUGGUCUCUCCUUUGUCAAUUUCAAUUUUGUUAAAAAAAGGUGCUUAAGGUUUGGUGUUAGGUGCUUAAUGUCUAAUGGGGUUAGGUGCUUAAGGUCUAAUGGGGUUAGGGUUUGGUGUUUGAAGCAGCAUUGUUGUUGUAGUGCCGGUUCCCAUAUCUUUACCUUCCAAGAAGAGCUGGAGAAAAACAUGCGACGGGAGCGGGGAAUGUGAUUGAAGACAGCCUUGGCGCCAUUCAUCCGAGAGCCUUUUGACAAUGUUUGGCAGUCGCCGUGGCGGGAUCAGAGUCAGGGACCCUCCUGUCCCGCGGUGAGCUCAGCGUGUGGUCGGGACCUGUCAUAAGCCUCCCAAGCCAAGCCAACUCAACUGUCACGCCGUAACCCCCUCAGUCAGACGUCAAAAUGUUCCGGCUGUGCCGUGAGGAAUUAAAAGGAACUUUUGAAUCACGUUGUCGUGGGAGGUCGACUCAACUGGCCAUUGUCAGGUGGCGAGCAGAGGGAUGCAAGCUUUCCUCCCGAUUGCGGAUGCACUGGGCGGCCUGCACUUCUCCUUCGACGUGGACCCAUUUGCC